CAGAAUUACCUCUGCACAGCUCAUAGAAUUCCAGAAUGAGAGGACAAGAAAGUGUCCAGUGCUUCCUUGAAAUCUACUGUAUUCUGCAAUGUAGAAACUCAUUCAAAAAAGAAAUAUGUCUAUUACACUGGAAAGAUCUCCCAAGCACAUAAUACCAGGAGAUAAAAGGCUUACUCCAACUAAAGAACGUUAGAAUUGGGCCUUGGAACAAGAUAAAAAACUACAAUGGAAAGAACAAUCCCAGCUUGGGGACCCCCUUAUGCAAAGAUAUCAAGAUACCAAAGUCCAAGAUGUGGCCACAGGACACCAAUGAGGUAGGUUAGGUAUUCUAAAAUCUGUGAUCAGUCCCAGUCUACUCUGAG
rnacentral:lncRNA from 1 species